rnacentral:lncRNA from 1 species
CCUUACGCAGCCAUUAACCAGAAAGGAGGCAACUCUGUGCUCGAAGGGGGCACCUGCAAGCGCGUACUGUCAGCUGGAAUCAGGUAAGUGCUGGGAGGUUGCUUCUGCUGCGCGUCGGUGGAAUCUGCACGGGGCCGGGCAUGGCGUCGAGAGGAGGAACCGAGCGGUGGAUGGCCGGGCUGGCAUCUGGGCACAAGCAGAGUCCCAAGGGGAGUAUGGGUCCCAGGUACCUGGGGUCCCAGGUCCACAGCAGGUGAGUUGACAGGGAGUGCGGUAAGGGGCAGGGGCAGCGAGUGUCUCAGUAUGCACCCCUGCUCCUG